AUGCUAUGAUGAGGACACUUACGAAGCAAUUCCUUGAAUCUCUCCCACAACUCGUAUAAGGACUCGUCAUUGUUGAAAAGUAGUUAUCUUAUUUCGCAACUU
rfam:Gossypium raimondii Chr10_contig_525, whole genome shotgun sequence.